UUCCUCUUUCAGAAGCAGUGAGAAAAAAAGUCGUCGCCUUUUGUUGUUCUUGAUUUUAGUAUGAUUAAGGAUAUGAUGGUUUUAGUUUAAUUGGUAUUGAAAUCGAUUGGAUAAAAUUAAUGAAUAAAGGUGUUGUUGUCGUCGUUGCUGGUGGUACUGUUCUGAUACAGGUAUUAUGAUUCUAGGGUUUGUUGGAAGAUGAGGUUCUCUGAAACUGUCGAUGCAACAUGUUUGUAGGCCUUGAUGAGUUGAAGCAGCGUAUGAAGAGAUAGUCCGCAACAACAAGAAGAAGACCAAAUCAUGAAUAGAUGAUUUCUAAUAAUUUAAUUUGGGAAUUUUUUAAAUUAGGGUUCUUGUAUUCUUCAUGAGAUUAACUGUUUUGAUUUUAUUAUAUUCAUUCAUUCUGAUUUUGAGUUGAUUAAAGAGCAUCCCGAUUCUGUGUAUUUAAGUUUUUUUUUCUUUUCUGAUUUGAUUAAAUUGAUUCAAUUUAAGAUAUGGGUUUGUAUUAAUUUGUGUGUGAAUGUUUGUUUUAAACCUGAAUUGAAACAAUUGUUUAAUUAGGGUUUGUAUGAUUCAAUUUGAGGAUUUGAAUUGAGGAGAACUACAGAGUUAGGGUCUGGUUUGAGUUGAGCAGAAAUUCAUGGGGUUGUGAUAAUAGUGCUGAUGGUGAAUGAAAUUGGAGCAAUUGAUGACGAUUUAGGGUUCUUAGAAGAAGAAUCUGGGUCGAUUUCAUAUUCCAGUAUUAAAUUGAUGAUGUUUGAGCUCGUGGAAGAAGAAGGGAAUUUUAGGGUUAGUAUUGAUUCAAGAUUACAAGAAAGAAGUGGAGGUGUUACUGUUGUUGUUGAUUAUUCAGUAUGGGUCUGUGUUGGAAUGGUUAGACAGGUAGAAUAUGAAGUGUAGAUUUAGAUGUAUGUUAGGUCAGGAAAAAAAGAAGAAGAGAUGAAUCUUGAGUCUCUGGUGGGUUUAACUGAACUAGGGCUGAAAUAUUUUUGAGCAAGAAGAUGGUGGUGAUGUGAAUCUGUUAAUCUCAGGCUGAAGUUGUUGCAGCUUCAGUUUUAGGUGUUUAGUGGUGGUGCUGAGAACUGCUAUGAAUUGCAGAUGGGUGUUAUUGCUGAACUGCAAGUGAUGAUGGCAACAGACAUGUUUGUGGUUUAUCUUGGUGGUGUUUGUUAUCGUUGUGCUGUCAUUGGUUAAUAUACUCAUUUCAUUACUGGAAGGCUUGUGCAAUUUAGAACAACUGGUGGCCAAUGUUGGCAGGUAACUAGAAAAAACAUUUAGAUGGUUACUCUAUUUCUUGUAGCUCUCAUGUACGUGAUGGUGCAUAUGCCUUGUUUAUUUUUUGGUGGUGGAUCCAUUGCAUUCUUAACCAGCCGUGAUGGUGGAGGCUGGAUGGAUGCUGCAAAUUUCUUGAUUUGAGCUGAAGUUGGUUGAGAAUGGUUGAAUGGUGGUGACGAUGCAGGUGUUGAGUGAUGAGUGCCAAAUAUUGUAAUAAAUAAAGUUCGGAUGAGUCGCGGAGCGAAAAAGAGCAGAAAAGUAGUGAAAAGCCGGGA